ACUCAAAGGAAUUGACGGGGACCCGCACAAGCGGUGGAUGAUGUGGUUUAAUUCGACGCAACGCGAAGAACCUUACCGAGGCUUGACAUCCUGCGAAUCCCGCCGAAAGGUGGGAGUGCCUUCGGGAAUGCAGUGACAGGUGCUGCAUGGCCGUCGUCAGCUCGUGUCGUGAGAUGUUGGGUUAAGUCCCGCAACGAGCGCAACCCUUAUCGUCUGUUGAAUAUUUCAGGCGAGACUGCCCGGGUUAACCGGGAGGAAGGUGGGGAUGACGUCAGGUCAGCAUGGCCCUUACGCCUCGGGCCACACACGUCAUACAAUGGCCAGUACAAUGCGCAGCCAACCAGCAAUGGGGAGCAAAUCGCAUCAAAACUGGUCCCAGUUCGGAUUGAAGGCUGCAACUCGCCUUCAUGAAGUCGGAAUCGCUAGUAAACGUGGGUCAGCAUACCACGUUGAAUACGUUCCCGGGUCUUGUACACACCGCCCGU
rnacentral:rRNA from 1 species